rnacentral:rRNA from 1 species
GAUGAACGCUGGCGGCGUGCUUAACACAUGCAAGUCGAACGGAAAGGCCCUGCUUGCAGGGUACUCGAGUGGCGAACGGGUGAGUAACACGUGGGUGAUCUGCCCUGUACUUUGGGAUGAGCCUGGGAAACUGGGUCUAAUACCGAAUAUGACAAUUGUUUGGAUGCGAUUGUGGAAAGCUUUUGCGGUAUGGGAUGAGCUCGCGGCCUAUCAGCUUGUUGGUGGGGUAAUGGCCUACCAAGGCGUCGACGGGUAGCCGGCCUGAGAGGGUGUACGGCCACAUUGGGACUGAGAUACGGCCCAGACUCCUACGGGAGGCAGCAGUGGGGAAUAUUGCACAAUGGGCGCAAGCCUGAUGCAGCGACGCCGCGUGGGGGAUGACGGCCUUCGGGUUGUAAACUCCUUUCGCAACCGACGAAGCCUUUUGGUGACGGUAGGUUGAGAAGAAGCACCGGCUAACUACGUG